AAACAUGGGCAUUAUGUCAUGAGUUUUUAUACAGCUUGGACAGAUGAAGGAAAUGAGGAGGUGCUCAUUGCCACUUGGUGGGUGUGACACCAUCUCCAUAGCUUUACCCAGCUCUCAAACUCAGUGAUGAAGCUUCCCUUUAUCCUAGCGCUGUCUUGGAAAAACCCUUCCAGGCCUUAAAUUUAUGUCAGUCUUGGAACAAAGUGCAUCAUGUUGUCAGGAGUAAAGCUAUUAGGAAAAUGAUAGCAUUUCUAUCGUAUCUCUUUUCUUGCGAAGUGAAACAUUGCAUUUUUAUCAAAUAAGAAGUUAGUAUAGAAUAUUCUAGAAACCCCUAUGACCAAUAUUUUCAAGCGCUAGGUUUGUUUGGAAAUGUUUAUACAAAGGGCAGUGCCACAAUGUACAUCUUGAACACCCAGCAUCAUUCAUGGCAAACUGUAAAUCUCUGGUCCCAGUUCACCUCGAUUUUGUGGUAAUGAAUUUAUAACUAAUCUAAAAGUGAAAGAAGUUACAAACCAAAAGCCUUCAUUCUUUCAAAUAUGUUUGGGGUAAAGGCUGGAAGGCUACACUGUUUCUCCCAACAGACAUUUCUCCAUUUUGAGAGAGAAAUCAAGAGGAAGAACAAAGCUCCUCGCUUCUCUCUUAUGCCCUGUUUAAUAGAAAGGGAGAUAACAAGACCCAGCCCCUUAGAAAAGAAAGUCACUGGAACGUUUUGGAGACUGAAGAAUAUUUCCCUGCUCAGGGAUUAGCAAUGUUUCUCUAUGGGUAACAAUACAUCCUGUUAGGCAGGGCAGCCCUAGCUAUGACUGAACCCCACAGGACUGUACCCCUUCUUAAUCUCAAAUAUCUCCCCACACCAACCCUUUCCCCCACUGACUCCUUGUUGUCCUAUGAUGGUUUGGUUCUCGGUCUUGCAACUGCAAUAUCUGCUCUUCUGAGAGGCAGGUGCAGCUUGAACUAACGGACUCAGCUGCAAAUCAGUGCAGGAGCUCAGUGAUCUGAAGGAAUGCAUCCCCUCUUGGCCAAGUCACCUCUGCCACCCUCUCUCUAGCUCUCCCUCUCACUAUUUUGUGUCUGUUCCUUUUUUUUCCUCUCAGUCUCCCUGGACUGCAGACCUAGCUU
rnacentral:lncRNA from 1 species